rnacentral:tRNA from 1 species
CGGGGUGUGGCGCAGUCCGGUAGCGCAUCUGCUUUGGGAGCAGAGGGUCGCAGGUUCGAAUCCUGUCGCCCCGACCA